GCCGGCACCACCAAGGGCACCAGCUCUUGGGGCCGGUACCAGAGGCUGGCGUGGAGCCUCUGCACGGGUCCGCAGCAGCCACGGCGACAGGAGGCCGAGCUGCCGGCGGGCCCAGCGCGGCCCGCGGGGCCGAAGCCGGGUUCAAUGGAGCCGCGGCAGAGAACGCAGCGGGGGCAGGGGCUGCUGGAACGGCCGCGGACAUCGGGAGCGGGGCCGGAGCCGGGACUGGGGCCGGGGCGGGCCCCAAAAGCGGCGGGCUGGGCUGGUGUGGAGCGGAGAGCCGGGCUAGGGCCGGGCACAGGGACACCGAAGGCGGCUUUUCCUGAUGCUUCCAGGUCCAGUCUUAAGUGCACCAUCCAGUUGAGCUGUGUUGGUUUGUUACUGAUCAAUGUAGUGCUUGUCCUGCCCGCAGGCUCUGGGCUUUUCACUGCCCUGUGGCCUUGGCUCGUGUGUUGGAAGUGUUUGCUGAGACACAGAGUGUUGGUGUUGGGAAGCAGCAGCUCAGUGACUUGGGGCUGCAGCUGCUUUAGGAGUUUCGUCUUUGUGCCUUUUUUUUGUCAAUUCGGUGUGCCCCAGUGAGACAAGGGCUGCAGUGGGUGUUCUGCAGAGAUCCAGCACAAUAUUGCCAUGCAGCAAAAGCAGAGAAAUAAUAACAGCCACAACUGGGCACUGUUCUCACUGGAUGCUCAGUAAAAAAGAGACUCCUUGAAAUAAAGGGCUCAAAGGAAAGUGUUUCCCUUUGGAUGUGUUUCCUUUUGGAUGUGUGAAAUGCAGGAUUGCCGAGUGACAGUCCGCAGAAAUUCAGUCAUUCUUUGUUUGUGGGAACUGCCCUGGAGAAGGAAGUGAGUGCAAAAGCCCCACAAGUCCUACAAAAGCAGAUCCAGACAGGCUGCAGAGCAGGGAUAUCUGGAUGCAGAGUGGGAAUUCUUUGUUCUUCUGGUGCAUUGAAGCAGUUGCCAUUAGGAUUUUAUUUGGUGAUGCAGUCUCCUGAAUUUCUUCUUGUCGGAGUGCCCUUUGUGGGGAGGGGGCAUCACUUGUGGAAGAAUUCUCAAGUAUCUUGGUUUAGGUAAAAUACAGUAACUAAAGUAUUUUUUAUAAUUUUUAUGGAAAAAGUAGUGUGUAGACUUCCUUUGGAAUAAACUGUACUUCUUUAAAUGUUUGCAAAUCCCUGUGUUGUGUGUGUGUGUCUGUGAGCACUCCUGUGUUUUACAGAACACGCUGCAGACUGUAAAUAAAACUACCAGAAAGGUGUUUAAGUCUUGUGGACUGAAUGUACCAUUAAAUGGGAAAGUGAAUAAAUUAUUAACCAGCAGUUGCUAAGUGGAUGCUUCCUGCAAAUAUCUGAAAUCUUUGUGGUGUUUGUGUGCAGGUUUCAGCUGGAGUUGCCCUGGCAUUGCCUCCCAGAGGGGCAGGAUUGCUCCCCAGGAAGUUCUCCAGCCAGAAGUCCCUCUGGAUCCGGAUUAUUUUUUUAAAAAAAGGAACCCCUCCCCAGCCUGGCCAGAGCCGCAGUGUCCUUCAUGUGCCGCUGCCUCACUCGCUGCUGCCGUGCUGGCUCAGGAAUGUGCUCAAAGCCCGGCUAAGCAGGAAUUGUUCCGGGCCUGCUCUGUUUAAUCACUGCCGCCGCGAGCAAAGCUGCCCCUGCUCCUUGAGGGGAGCGCUCGCUGCAGCCCGGCAGGAAAAGAGCCCAGGAAAAGCCGUGCCCUUUGCAGGAGAAGUGCUGGGAGCAGAGGGGAGAGCGGGAAAAGGGAACGAGAGCAGCUGGGCGGGCGGGGCGGCAUCAGCGCUGAUCCCUCCGCGGGCAGGAGCGCAUCACAAAUAGUCCCUCGGGCGGAUCCCUCCGCGGGCGGGGUCGCAUCACCGCUGAUUCCUCUGCGGGCAGGACCGCAUUACAAAUAGUCCCUCGGGGAUCACUCCGCGGCCAGGACCGCAGCACCGCAGGUGCCUCCUGGCGGAUCCCUCUGUUAUAAAUGGUAUUGUGAUGUUGGCUUUUCGCAUGUUACAUCAUUGUUAUGAAUGUGAGGUAAAGAAAUUCAGCCAAAUUAAAUUUAAUAAAGAAAUAGAUUUUA